AUGUAUGUAUUGCGGGUCUGGAUGCUUGCGCUCUUCCGUCUUGUGCUUUGAAAGUACGGAAUAAAGUUAUCUAUGAAAGGACGACGCCCCCUUAUGUUUACGGUGUUGUGCGCGAGAAUAGUUCCCUAUAAGACGCUUUGUGAUCAGUACUUCGAAAAUACAUCUUCAAAGGAAUCCGGGGUGGGGGGAGAAGAUUUUCGCUUUUGAUUCGGGGGAGGAAUAUCUGUUUGAAAAUCAUGUUUCGGAGGAUGAUUUGGCGGAUGGUUAUCAUACCCCCACCCCUCACCCCGAAAAAAAAAAAAAAAAGUUUAGAUUCAAAGAAGAAACAAUGGUGUACCGGCGAUAAUACUAAUAAAAAGGUGAACAAUAGCAAAGAAACUUGCUUCGAAGCAACGAAAACAACUAGAAGAUGAAGAAGAUUCAAUCACUACUAUAAUAAAUAAAGGUGAUUUGAAGAAACAAAAACAACCGGAAGAUGAAGAAACUUUGGCCAUUUGCAUAGUAAAGGAAGGAUUAUGACUUAAGUUUUUCUACUAGAUUUGUAAUGGUUAAUGUGCAAUAGAUGUUUCGAAGAAAUGAAAACAACUAGAAGAUGUAGAAGUUUCAGCCACUAAUAUAAGAAAAAAAGGUACUACUAUUUCUAUUUCCUUGAUCUUUGUUUCAAUUUAAGAUUACAACUUACGUUGUAAUGCUUAAUGUGCAACAGGUUUGAUUUUUGGUAUGCAUGCAUGAUUCAUCAAUGAAUUUUGGUACUGCUUAAUUAGAACAGGAAACAACAAGGAAAAGUACUAGUAUUUACAGGAUCACCAGUUAAUAUUGAUGUCCAACAGUGUGUGCACAAUACGUAUAAAACAUACUUUAAUUUCUGUUGUUGUUUUUUUUGUAGUCAAAUUAAGUUCAACAUGGAAAGAACCGAGUUAUAGAUGUAGUUGUAGUGGCAUAUGUGACUUUCUGAAUACUCAUUUUGAGAAGGAUGAAAAGGUCACAAAGACAUAUGAAGGUAAAGUGUGGUUCACUGAUUUGCAGUUAGACAAGCUUAUGGAUAACCAAUUUGGAAUGCACUAAAAAACUUUAUUUUUGAAAAAACCGAGCAGUAAAAUUGGUAGAGGACUGAUGACACAAUAUUGAAAAUAGUAACAACGUAUAGCUGUCAAUUUGCCGAAGAACGUGCUUUUGUUUUUUACGAUUCAAAGAAUAAUCUUGUGGUUGUAAAAACCCCACCUGAAAAAUUAGCUAGUGUAUUUGGAUUGAAAAUUGUGGGCAGGAUAUUAUACAUGUAAGGAAUUAAAAACGGCUUAUGAAAAUCGUGUGAUCCAGUAAUAAAAAGGAUGCAAGAUUUUAUACAAAAAAAAAAAAAAAAAAAAAA